AUUGAACGCUGGCGGAAUGCUUUACACAUGCAAGUCGAACGGCAGCACGGACUUCGGUCUGGUGGCGAGUGGCGAACGGGUGAGUAAUGUAUCGGAACGUGCCCAGUCGUGGGGGAUAACGUAGUGAAAAUUACGCUAAUACCGCAUACGAUCUAUGGAUGAAAGCGGGGGAUCGCAAGACCUCGCGCGAUUGGAGCGGCCGAUAUCAGAUUAGGUAGUUGGUGGGGUAAAGGCCCACCAAGCCAACGAUCUGUAGCUGGUCUGAGAGGACGACCAGCCACACUGGAACUGAGACACGGUCCAGACUCCUACGGGAGGCAGCAGUGGGGAAUUUUGGACAAUGGGCGAAAGCCUGAUCCGGCCAUUCCGCGUGCAGGAUGAAGGCCCUCGGGUUGUAAACUGCUUUUGUACAGAACGAAAAGGUUUCUACUAAUACUAGGAGCUCAUGAGGGUACUGUAAGAAUAAGCACCGGCUAACUACGUGCCAGCCGCCGCGGUAA
rnacentral:rRNA from 1 species